GGGGGCAACAUUUCUAUGUCAGGGUUCAAACUGCUCAAUUGUUUUUUGGAAGGGUUGAGAAAAUUUAUAGUGCCCUAUUUUGAAUUGUUUAAGUAUAAGGCUAAGCAGAGAGAGCGGCUGAUCCGAUUGAUUUAUCUUUAUUGUCCUCACUUGAUGUUAUUUGUGGUGAAAGGCAAAGGGUCAUUUAAACCUGCCAGCAAGUGAGCUAACCCUUUUUUAAAAUAAAAAUCAAACUUAAACUUAAAGAGGAACUCACUUAACGUAGAGAUUCAAAUCAGACAUGUUUAUUGACGAGUGCAAAAAAUUUAAUGAUUGACUCGCACUGAUGAAUGAGUGAGAGCCAUAUUAUCACACAAAUGAAAAUUAUCCUACAUCUGUCAAAGCUGGCUUGGUGUAUAUAUAUAUUGAAGAUUAACAAAAGACCUCACUAGAGUAGGCCACGUAUGCUUGAACCAUUUAGUGUUUGGUCAAGACCUGCUUUUUAUCUAGUUGGGAAUUGUGAAAGCUGGAAACUCUGAAAAAAUUGUUUUUAGAGAGGAAUUUUGUUUAUCAUUUUUGAAAUUUUCAACUAAAGUAUUGUAUGUAUAUUGAAUUGCAGAUCCAAUGGGAUCCAGUUCUUAGCAGUCCUAGCCUAUUCAGAAGUACAAAGUCAAAUACCAUUUGCACAUCACCAAGAGGUACAAUCUGAUGUGUAACAGGAUAUCUGAUCUAAAAGCUUGCCAGGUUUCACAGGCUGUUUGAGUAUCACCAGGGCAGAUCAA